CCUCGUCACCCCGAGCAUUGUGGUGACAAAGCACUCCGGAGAAGGGAAAAUACGUGGGAAUUAUAGAAUGGCUGCAUAAUAGCUACCCUCUGCUUCCCGGGGAAAGAACAAACCUCUUCUUACUCUGGAAGCUGCUUUUCAGGAACGCUGCCGUGUGUGCUUGCCUGCACAGAGAUACAGUCUCUUUUUCAAAUGCACUUUGCCUAGAGAUUGUUUCCAAAAGCCACUUCUUAAGUAUGGUCGAGCUAUUACCUAUUUGAAAUGUUUCCUGGGCUGUUGCUGGCCCCGGGGAGGCUUUUUGGACAAGAGCAUGGAGCCAGGACACCUGAGACCCAGGUUCUUGUGUGCUCCGUCAGAAACUAAACAGGCUCAGAUUUCAGAAUGGCUGCUACACACCCAGGAACAGAAGAUUUCAAGGAAGCUUGGGAAAUGGAGGGAAGGAAGACGGUGGAAGUAGGAAAAGAUUUUUGCAGAAGCCUUAGGGAGGGAAGAAGGACAAUUAAAGGGAUGGUGCAAAGAAAGUUGCCAUCUGAAGGAAAGAAGAAAAAAAAAAGUGCAGCUCCUGUAGUCACGAGAGCCCUGAUGCAUUUCAGUUGUCCUUGUCAGAAAGAAAAGAGGGGAGGAGUUUCUCCCUCUACCUGUGGAUGAGAAUGAAAAAGGGGUCCCUUAGGACUCAGGCAUGAGAAGGUAUGUAAAGGUGUCUCAGGUUGUCAUGGUAAACUUAUCCCACAAAUGUUUUUU
rnacentral:lncRNA from 1 species